rnacentral:rRNA from 1 species
UACGUAGGGCGCAAGCGUUAUCCGGAAUUAUUGGGCGAAAGAGCGUGUAGGCGGCCAUACAGGUCCGUUGUGAAAACUCGAGGCUUAACCUCGAGACGUCGAUGGAAACCGUAUGGCUAGAGUCCGGAAGAGGAGAGUGGAAUUCCUGGUGUAGCGGUGAAAGUGCGCAGAUAUCAGGAAGAACACCCGUGGCGAAGGCGGCUCUCUGGGACGGUACUGACGCUGAGACGCGAAAGCGUGGGGAGCGAACAGG